AACUCUUGGUAGCCUCACAUAAUCCGAAAUUCCCAAAAAAAGGAGCAACUAACUUCCAAUAUGCAUAUGCCAAACACACCUAUGCAAGAACAUGGCCUUCUUCUUGUGCAAGUGCAGGAAGAAAAGAAGUGAUCUUUUUUAUGUAUUUCUUUUUAACAAAGAAUUUCAUUAAAGCCUUUUUAUAAGGAAAUGCCUUGGGCCAUUUGUUUUAUACAUAUCAUCAUCUGAUGCCAUAUUGCUUUGCUCGUCGGAAUCCAUCCACAAAGAUGCACAUAAUUUCGAGACGAGAAUUGCAGCAUCAGUAGCAUAUUAGUAUCAAUAUGUUUGCGCCGUCAAGAAAUUGCACUAUUUCAUAAAGAAGCUUACGCCACAGAUUCCAGAGAUUGAUCCGGAAGCCAACUUCUUUAUUUAUGUAUAUUAAUCUUUAAUUUUAUUGUUUAAUAAAUUAUUCCAUAUAAAUAUAAGUAAUUUAUA